rnacentral:rRNA from 1 species
UACGGAGGGCGCAAGCGUUGUUCGGAAUCACUGGGCGUAAAGCGCGUGUAGGCGGCUUGGUAAGUCGGGUGUGAAAGCCCGGAGCUCAACUCCGGAACUGCAUUCGAAACUACCUCGCUCGAGUCCCGGAGAGGGUGGUGGAAUUCCCGGUGUAGAGGUGAAAUUCGUAGAUAUCGGGAGGAACCCGAGUGGCGAAGGCGGCCACCUGGACGGUGACUGACGCUGAGACGCGAACGCGUGGGGAGCAAACAGG